rnacentral:rRNA from 1 species
GACGAACGCUGGCGGCGUGCCUAAUACAUGCAAGUAGAACGCUGAAGCGAGGAGCUUGCUCUUCUUGGAUGAGUUGCGAACGGGUGAGUAACGCGUAGGUAACCUGCCUUGUAGCGGGGGAUAACUAUUGGAAACGAUAGCUAAUACCGCAUAACAAUGGAUGACACAUGUCAUUUAUUUGAAAGGGGCAAUUGCUCCACUACAAGAUGGACCUGCGUUGUAUUAGCUAGUAGGUGAGGUAAUGGCUCACCUAGGCGACGAUACAUAGCCGACCUGAGAGGGUGAUCGGCCACCCUGGGACGGAGACACGGCCCAGACGCCUACGGGAGGCAGCAGUAGGGAAUCUUCGGCAAUGGGGGCAACCCUGACCGAGCAACGCCGCGUGAGUGAAGAAGGGUGUCGGAUCGUAAAGCUCUGUUGUAAGUCAAGAACGGGUGUGAGAGUGGAAAGUUCACACUGUGACGGUAGCUGACCAGAAAGGGACGGCUAACUACGUG